rnacentral:rRNA from 1 species
UACGUAGGUGGCAAGCGUUGUCCGGAUUUAUUGGGUUUAAAGGGUGCGUAGGCGGCUUUGUAAGUCAGUGGUGAAAUACGGUAGCUUAACUAUCGAGGUGCCAUUGAUACUGCGAGGCUUGAGUACAGAUGAGGUAGGCGGAAUUGACGGUGUAGCGGUGAAAUGCUUAGAUAUCGGUCAAGAACACCUAUAGCGAAGGCAGCUUACUAGGCUGUAACUGACGCUGAGGCACGAAAGUGUGGGGAGUCAAACAGG